rnacentral:rRNA from 1 species
GACAGAGGGUGCAAACGUUGUCCGGAUUUAUUGGGCGUAAAGAGCUCGUAGGCGGCUUAGUAAGUCGGGUGUGAAACCUCCAGGCUCAACCUGGAGACGCCACCCGAUACUGCUGUGGCUAGAGUCCGGUAGGGGAGCGUGGAAUUCCUGGUGUAGCGGUGAAAUGCGCAGAUAUCAGGAGGAACACCAGCGGCGAAGGCGGCGCUCUGGGCCGGUACUGACGCUGAGGAGCGAAAGCGUGGGGAGCAAACAGG